AGUGAACGCUGGCGGUAGGCCUAACACAUGCAAGUCGAACGGCAGCACAGUAAGAGCUUGCUCUUACGGGUGGCGAGUGGCGGACGGGUGAGGAAUACAUCGGAAUCUACUUUUUCGUGGGGGAUAACGUAGGGAAACUUACGCUAAUACCGCAUACGACCUACGGGUGAAAGCAGGGGAUCUUCGGACCUUGCGCGAUUGAAUGAGCCGAUGUCGGAUUAGCUAGUUGGCGGGGUAAGGGCCCACCAAGGCGACGAUCCGUAGCUGGUCUGAGAGGAUGAUCAGCCACACUGGAACUGAGACACGGUCCAGACUCCUACGGGAGGCAGCAGUGGGGACUAUUGGACAAUGGGCGCAAGCCUGAUCCAGCCAUACCGCGUGGGUGAAGAAGGCCUUCGGGUUGUAAAGCCCUUUUGUUGGGAAAGAAAAGCAGCAGGUUAAUACCCCGCUGUUCUGACGGUACCCAAAGAAUAAGCACCGGCUAACUUCGU
rnacentral:rRNA from 1 species